rnacentral:rRNA from 1 species
UGCCAGCCGCCGCGGUAAUACGGAGGGUGCAAGCGUUGUCCGGAUUUAUUGGGUUUAAAGGGUGCGUAGGUGGUUUUUUAAGUCAGUGGUGAAAUCCUACAGCUUAACUGUAGAACUGCCUUUGAUACUGCAAAUCUUGGGUUCGGAAGGGAGAGGCGGAAUUCCAGGUGUAGUGGUGAAAUACGUAGAUAUCUGGAAGAACACCAGAGGCGAAGGCGGUCUCUUGGUCCGAAACUGACGCUGAGGCGCGAAAGCGUGGGGAGCAAACAGGAUUAGAUA